UGAAACAUUUUAUUUGAGAUU
rnacentral:piRNA from 1 species